GUUUACAUGGCGAGACCGCGGACGGCUCAUUAAAUCAGUCUUGGUCCAUAUGGGCUAGAAUUUAUCUUACUUGGAUAACUGUGGUAAUUCCAGAGCUAAUACAUGCAACACUUAUCCAGACGUGGUGGAGGCGCUUCGGUGUCUUCACGCUGAUGGAUGCUUUUAUUAGACCAAACCGCUGAGUGCGUGGCUUCCGCCACGUAUGACUCGUUCAAUGGUGACUCUGAAUAACCUUUCUGACAAGCGAACGUACCCCUCGUUGGGACGGCGCUGCCACUUUCGAGUGUCUGCCUUAUCAGCUAUCAACCGUUCGUUAUGUGCGACCGAUGGCUUUGACGGGUAACGGGGAAUCAGAGUUCGAUUCCGGAGAGGCAGCCUGAGAGACGGCUACCACGUCCAAGGACGGCAGCAGGCACGCAAAUUACCCAAUCCCAGCUCCUGGGGGAGGUAGUGACGAAAUCUAACGAUGCGGGCGCCCUUUCUGGGGCCCCGCAAUCGGAAUGGCCACUUUCUAAACAACCUGUUGAGAACCUACUGAAGGGCAAGUCUGGUGCCAGCAGCCGCGGUAAUUCCAGCUUCAGUAGCAUCUAUUAAAGUUGCUGCGGUUAAAAGGCUCGCAGUUGAAUGUCAGUAUCGAGCGCAGGUCAGGUGGACGCUGGGGGCGUGAGAAUUCACGGCGUGUUCUCGCGUGUGCUGGUUUUUGGGCGGUGCGCAUUCGUGCGUGUCGUUUUCCUUUUCUGGUGUGCGUGUGCUUCGCGUCUCUCACAAGCCCCCGUCCGUGACAAGCCUCCUCGCUUGUUUACAUAACGGAAUCUGUUAAACGGAGUGUGCGUUGCAGUGGCUCAUCUUCCUCGUGCGUUAGCGCGCUUGCACACGCGCGUCUAUAUAUAUGCUUGCAUUUCUGUGCGGUGUGUGUGUUGCGUGUUACGAUGCUUGCGUAUGCGGCGUGCGGCAGGGGAGUUGCGGUUAAUCUCUCGCACGUUAAGCUCCAUCGUUUCUAUGGUCACCUUGAGUAAAUCAGAGUGCUUAAAGCAGUCGUAGGGGCCUUGUGCCCUGUGAACAGUCUUGACGGACUGACUUGGUUUUGCAUGGUAUGUCGGAAGACGACGUCUAGCGCUGGCUCAGAGAAAUACUUAUCAGUGGUGUAAGCCAGCCUAGACGUACUGAUUAACAGGGACAGUCGAGGGCAUUGGUAUUGCGAGGCGAGAGGUGAAAUUCUAUGACCCCCGCAAGACCUCCUGAAGCGAAAGCGUCUGCCAAGGAUGUUUUCAUUAAUCAUGAACGAAAGUUAGAGGAUCGAAGGCGAUCAGAUACCGCCCUAGUUCUAACCCUAAACGAUGCCAACCAUCAAUCCGCGCGUAGCACCCUUCUUAACGGGCUCGGCGGGCAGCUCCUCACUCACGGGAAACCAGAGUCUCUGGGUUCCGGGGGGAGUCUGGUUGCAAAGCUGAAACUUAAAGGAAUUGACGGAAAGGCACCACCAGGCGUGGAGCCUGCGGCUUAAUUUGACUCAACACGGGCCAUCUCACCAGGCCAGCACUCUUGUACGAUUGACAGAUUGAGAGCUCUUUCUCGAUUUAGUGGAUGGUGGUGCAUGGCCGUUCUUAGUUGGUGGAGUGAUCUGUCUGGUUAAUUCCGAUAACGAACGAGACUCUCCCCUGCUAACUAGUCGGUUGGAUCUUGAUAUUUGUAUCGGUUGAGUCGUGUACCGAGAUAACCGGUUGUUUUGCGCGCGCGUUCUGCGCUUUCUGGUCGAGAUCUGUGGUGUGGGAUCGUGUGGUUAGUGUGCGUGUGUGUGCGCGCAUGUGUCUCGCUAGCGCGAGCGCGUGUGUGUGUGUGCGCGUGUGCGCCCGCUUUCUUUGCUCUGCUCCUUGGCUGGGGCCAGUCGUGUGUGUGAUCUUCUGGCCUCGGACCACACACUCCAAGUCCGCCGCUUAUGCUUAAAACUCUUCUUAGAGGGAUUCACGGUACUGAAGCCGUAAGAGACUGAGAGCAAUAACAGGUCUGUGAUGCCCUUAGAUGUUCUGGGCCGCACGCGCGCUACAAUGCCGGGCACAGCAGGUGUUCUUCCUACUCCGACAGGAGCGGGUAACCCUGUGAAAGCCCUUUCUUAUGGUUUCAAGUUGGUUUGUGGCUCACGUCACAUCCAACGUAUGGCGUGAUUGGGCCUGGGUCUUGCAAUUCUUUCCCACAAACGAGGAAUGCCUUGUAGCGGCGGGUCACUGAGCCCGCCGUGACUCAGUCCCUGCCCUUUGUACACACCGCCCGUCGCUACUACCGAUUGGGUGUACCAGUGAGAGCCUUGGACUGGCGUCCGUUGCUCUAAC
rnacentral:rRNA from 1 species